AGCGAACGCUGGCGGCAGGCUUAACACAUGCAAGUCGAGCGGGCACUUCGGUGUCAGCGGCAGACGGGUGAGUAACACGUGGGAACGUACCCUUCGGUUCGGAAUAACGCUGGGAAACUAGCGCUAAUACCGGAUACGCCCUUUUGGGGAAAGGUUUACUGCCGAAGGAUCGGCCCGCGUCUGAUUAGCUAGUUGGUGGGGUAAUGGCCUACCAAGGCGACGAUCAGUAGCUGGUCUGAGAGGAUGAUCAGCCACACUGGGACUGAGACACGGCCCAGACUCCUACGGGAAGCAGCAGUGGGGAAUAUUGGACAAUGGGCGCAAGCCUGAUCCAGCCAUGCCGCGUGAGUGAUGAAGGCCUUAGGGUUGUAAAGCUCCUUUGUCCGGGACGAUAAUGACGGUACCGGAAGAAUAAGCCCCGGCUAACUUCGUG
rnacentral:rRNA from 1 species